ACCCCCAAAAUACCCCUACCACUAUCACACUACAAAUCCCUAAUCUUCUUCCACAGCCCCCAGUCUCUCGCUCUGUCAUACACUAGAACGACAACUACUUCUUUCUCCAGCAUCGCUGCCUCCUCUCCUCUGGUCUUCUGUCCCUCUCUCCGCUGCUGCUGUGCUCUCUUCUCACCCAGUCUCGGUCGCUACCUCUGUACUCUCGCUCCAACCUCCGCACAUCGCCGCUGUUCUAUCAACCAGCCUCCGCCGCCGCCGCCGCCGCCUGCAAACUAUGCUGCUGGCACCGCAACGAACACUGCCUCCUUCAGAAAGUUAGGUUGCCAGUGCAAUUUAUCAAAUGGAUAUUAAUGGGCAUGGCGAUGGUGAGGAGAACGUGGGAGAUGCUGCAGAAAUAUAAAUAUAGUUAUAAGAAUUUUGCACUCUAACGACACAACAGUGAUGCAGUGCCUCUGGCGAAGUCAGUCACAGGUUCAAGUUUAACAACUAUGUUCACAAACCCUUCUGCUGCUGUACGAGCUUCCAAGGUUGCCCUUGUGCAUAGUUGUGCUCAUGCUCACCGAAGAUCUGCUCCCGUACCACUUAAGGAGAAAGUGCUGAUCAUAAGACCUGAGAUUUGGUUUGUGAAGGUUGCCGCAACUCUUUUUGUUUGGUCAAACUCAUUGGAUAGAUUUUUUGGUUAUUUUAGUGAUCAUUUAACUCCUCCACUUGCAUUAGAGGUUAUCAAAUGGCUGAACAAUCCCACCUUGCUUUUGAAGUUCUUUCACUUUAGUAAGAAAAUGUUGAACAUAUCUCACACAUACUUGACUUAUGAUGUGCUAUUAAGAUCCCUUUGUCAAGCAGGCCUUCACAAUUCAGCAACAUUAAUAUAUAAUUGUAUGAAAUCUGAUGGGAAAUUGCCUGAGAGUAAGCUGUUAGGAUUCUUGGUUUCUUCUUAUGCACUGGCAAACAGAUUUGAUAUGUCGAGGGAAUUACUUGCUGAAUCUCAUUCCAAUAAGGCACCUGUGAAUGCUAUUGUUUAUAAUAGCUUGUUGAAUGUAUUGGUAAAUCAAAAGAAAUUAGAUGAUGCUGUUUGUUUACUCAUGGAGCUUAUGAGAUUGCAACGUCAUCUAGAGACCUUCACCUUCAACAUUGUAAUGCGAGGUUUGUGCAGAGCUGGGGAAAUCAAUGAAGCUUUUAAGUUUCUCAAUGAUAUGAUUAGCUAUGGUUGUCAACCCGAUAUAGUUACAUAUAACACUCUUAUACAUGGUUUAUGUAUAAAUAACAAAGUCGAUAAAGCACGCGAUCUACUAAAAGAUGUUUCUUCAAAAACUGAUUUUGCCCCCAAUGUUGUAAGUUAUACAACAAUAAUAUCUGCUUAUUGCAAACUGGGUAAGAUAACAGAGGGAACUUCUCUUUUUGAUGAAAUGGUUGAAUCUGGAAUUAGGCCUAAUACAUUUACUUAUAAUGUGCUUAUUCAUGGCGUUGCUAAGAUGGGUGACAUGGCUUCUGCAGUAGCCAUGCAUGACAGUAUGUUUUUUCACGGUUGUCCCCCUGAUGUUGUUACCUUCACUUCGCUAAUUGAUGGAUAUUGCCGAGCUGGGCAGGUGAAUCAUGGCAUGGACCUGUGGCAUGAAAUGCUUGCAAGAAAUAUUUCUGCGAAUUUGUAUACAUUCUCUGUGCUUACUAAUGCUCUAUGCAAGAGCAAUAGGCUACAAGAAGCUCAUGACAUUUUGAGGCUAUUGAAGCAAAGUGAAAUUGUUCCACAGCCCUUUAUCUAUAAUCCUGUUAUUGAUGGAUAUUGCAAAUCUGGGAAUGUUGAUGAGGCUAAUGCAAUUGUACUAGAAAUGGAGGAGAAGUGCAAACCUGAUAAGUUGACAUAUACCAUUCUUAUUGUUGGAUAUUGUAUGAAGGGAAGAACACGUGAAGCAAUUGGCAUCUUUUACAAGAUGUUGGAAGCUGGUUGUUCCCCAGAUGACAUUACUGUUAAAACUUUAUGCUCCUGUCUUUUGAAGGCUGGAAUGCCUCGUGAGGCUGCUCAUAUUAGGAAAAUUCUAUUUGAGAACCAAAGCUUGGGCUUGUCACUGGAAAGAUCUUAUAAUGAAAAUAUAAAUGCAGAUAUGCCAGUUCUGGUUUAUUGAAGUUCUAGUUGCAAUUAGACUCUGCCUUGCAUCAUUUUCCCCUGAGAAAUACAAUCAUCUUGUUGCAUGUCACUAUUUUUGUAGAGAUUAUCAAGAGGGGAACUUGAAUUGCCAAUCCUUCCAACUUUCUGCUGAUUCUUUUGAACUUGUGGGAUCAAUAGCUAAAUGCGAUGAAACUAUAAGGGAACUAAACCGAGAAAAUUAUAUUGAAAGGACCAAAACUGAAAUUUGAUGCAACUAUAUGGACCACAUAGAUUCCUUCCAAAGUUUUUCUAAAGUUGGUUAGAUACAUGAUACAAAGGUGAUUGUCCAAUAAAAUUCCUCAACGUUGUCUUACCCGUUUUUAUUGAAGAUUCACAUCCAUUUGGUGAAACUUCUUUUGUUAGAACUUGAAAAUAUUAAUUAUUAUCCUUUUUUCUUUUAAGAAAAAGAAGUAGCAGCUUAUAUUAGUAUCUAGAAAUGAAGAAGUAACUCUAUCCAAAACUGUUAAUUUUUUAUGGCCUAUGAAGUAGCCACAUUUGUUGGACACAGCAUAUGGGUAAGGUCUGAGUUUUCCUGAACUGACUUCAAAUUUUUUGGGUUCUCAUGUUGGCACAGUGCAAACAGCUAUGUUCUACGAUUUAUCACCAUCUCAUGCAUUCAAGCAAUUGUGAAUUCGAGACAUAAUAAAGCAUUUGAGUUGAAUAAUAUUGAGAAGUUAAGUAGGCCCCAAUCUUACAUUAUUGAUAAGUGGGAUAAAAGAAAGGAGGAAAAAUGAAAGGGUAUCAUGAGUUUGAGUUUCGUCCACUAUGGAGUUUUGUUGGUUCAUAGGGAUGAGCUUCUUACAAUGUUAUCCUUUAUAAUUUUUCUAAAGCAAGUACUAUAUGGUUGACGUAUGGAGGAUAUAGAUUUUAAUUUUAUUAGGAGGCACAAAUAUUGUAGGUCAACUAUGAUUCUAUUAGAACAUAUAACUUCACAAAACUACUUUCAUGAAUGAAGUCAAUGGGUUUACUUGCAAGGAGUGUCAGUAAUUGUAGUUUGUAGAACUUGCAUUCUAUCCUUGUUGCAUAUUAUUAUCCAUGCUAUUUCUGAACUUCAAAGCAAUAGGCAAUAACCUUUUGUAUCUCCAUCAAACUUCGAGAGCCUGCUGUGGUGCUCAUCCAUCUCCUAUGAGAAUUACAGAAUGGUUGAUGUUGAGCUGGCUAGCUGAUGCUGCUAGCUUACUUUAUCUGCUACAAUGCAAAUUUGGUUACCUUCAUAUACACUAUACAGCCCAAGGGAAUAAAUGUCUCCUGAGUCAACCAUUUAUAAACUGAUGGAAGCCUAGGGUCCAUUUCAAAGGGCAUUUAAAGGUGUUAUACAGAUGGCUACUCACUAAUCUACUAUUCGUUAAUUGGAAAUGCUAUCCCUUGUUUAAAGAAAGUUUUUCACCCAGGAAUUGUGGUAGCUCCAUGGUGUAACAUGACAAUUGCCUUGCUAAUUAUGAGUAGGAAAGCUCCCAAGUUGUAGAAUUUUAUGAGAGCUGUGUAAUUGUGAUAAAGAAGACAAACUUAAGGGUAAAAAACUAAUGGAAGCAAGGAAAGCCCAUUCUCCUGGAAAUCACUUGCACUCUCCCACUCUGCUUAGUACUUAGAAGUAUUUGUAAAUUCAAAUCGACUAAUAUUCGUAGUAGGUUAUUCCUUGCAGAAUAAAAAUAAUGCAGUUGAGUUUCUGAUCAUUGUUCUCUAAAUUUGUACACACCAAUCAAAUUUUGCUCUCAAACUAUUUUGGUUACGCCAUAUACAAACAUGAAUUGUGGUUAGGAGAGGCAUACAAAUUACUUUUAGCUACUUACUCACACAAGGUGUCUUAAACUUUUUGUAUAAUACAUUUCAUAAUAUUGCACGAAAUUUUAAAUUUGUAUUCG